rnacentral:rRNA from 1 species
CCGCAUAGUAUCUGUGGAUUAAAGGUGGCUUUUGGGCUGUCGCAGAUGGAUGAGCCUGCGUUGGAUUAGCUAGUUGGUGGGGGUAAGGGCCUACCAAGGCUACGAUCCAUAGCUGAUUUGAGAGGAUGAUCAGCCACAUUGGGACUGAGACACGGCCCAAACUCCUACGGGAGGCAGCAGUGAGGAAUAUUGGACAAUGGGGGCAACCCUGAUCCAGCAAUGCCAUGUGUGUGAAGAAGGCCUUAGGGUUGUAAAACACUUUAGUUGGGGAAGAAAGCUUUGAGGUUAAUAGCCUUGAGGAAGGACGUUACCCAAAGAAUAAGCACCGGCUAACUCCGUGCCAGCAGCCGCGGUAAUACGGGGGGUGCAAGCGUUAAUCGGAAUUACUGGGCGUAAAGGGUCUGUAGGUGGUUUGUUAAGUCAGAUGUGAAAGCCCAGGGCUCAACCUUGGAACUGCAUUUGAUACUGGCAAACUAGAGUAUGGUAGAGGAAUGGGGAAUUUCUGGUGUAGCGGUGAAAUGCGUAGAGAUCAGAAGGAACACCAAUGGCGAAGGCAACAUUCUGGACCGAUACUGACACUGAGGGACGAAAGCGUGGGGAUCAAACAGGAUUAGAUACCCUGGUAGUCCACGCUGUAAACGAUGAGUACUAGCUGUUGGAGUCGGUGUAAAGGCUCUAGUGGCGCAGCUAACGCGAUAAGUACUCCGCCUGGGGACUACGGCCGCAAGGCUAAAACUCAAAGGAAUUGACGGGGACCCGCACAAGCGGUGGAGCAUGUGGUUUAAUUCGAUGCAACGCGAAGAACCUUACCUGGUCUUGACAUCCUACGAGCUUUCUAGAGAUAGAUUGGUGCCUUCGGGAACGCAGUGACAGGUGCUGCAUGGCUGUCGUCAGCUCGUGUUGUGAAAUGUUGGGUUAAGUCCCGCAACGAGCGCAACCCCUAUUGAUAGUUACCAUCAUUAAGUUGGGUACUUUAUUGAGACUGCCGCUGACAAGGCGGAGGAAGGUGGGGACGACGUCAAGUCAUCAUGGCCCUUACGACCAGGGCUACACACGUGCUACAAUGGGUAUUACAGAGGGCUGCGAAGGAGCGAUCUG